AUGUUUCAACCCAGCCAAGCGAGCCUAGGGCCUCUUCUCUCAGCCGGCCAGCCUCCUGUCCUUGCGACCCAAGUACGCGCUAAUCACUGUCUCUGUUCUCUCUCUCCCCCAACCCCGCCUUCUCCUGCUCCCGACUUCCCCAGCUCUCAGAGGAAGCCCUGGAGGAAGCACGAUGCUGAUUCUGCAGAGGAAGUGCAAGAAGGUGCGCCAGCACUCCCCAGCCUCCAGGGAAAUCUGAGGUAGGAACACAGCACUGCUACCUUCUCACCUUCUCAGGUGAGCCUCAAACCUGAACAGACUCCGGGGGCUCCACUAUAAGGAUGGGAGCUGCGUUCUGAAUAGAGACCUCCUCUUGGCAUCACUUGGGCUCCAGG
rnacentral:lncRNA from 1 species